GUUGAGGAAAGAGGAAGUCUUUUUGAAAACCCUAGGAAGGAGAUGGCAUGGAGACAAAGGAAAAAAGAGAACUGGUGAAAAUCAUCUCAGUACUCGUGAAGAGGGUGGCCUGGGUGUCCUUCAACGAGACCUCAAAGAAGAAGAUGCUUGAAGAUCCCAGCAUCUGCCCCGAGGGGAUGGCCUUCCAGUUGCACUGCUGCAUAUCAGCCAGUGCCCUCACUCCACAGAGAAGACCUGGACGCUGCUAACAGCCUGGCCUCCAACAUCACAGCCUGGCCAUCUGACAUCAAAGCAGGCAGGGUCUUCUCCUUCUCUGCAAGUCCUACAGGGAGACCAUGGGUCCCUGGGAGCUCUUGGACGGGGUCCUCAGGGGACUGCAAUCCCUCCACAGCAACAUCACCCUGGAGUUCCUGGACUUGGGUGGCCGGCUGGGGCCCCUGCUGCAGGAGGAAGACCGGGCCCCACGAAGGCUCACCUGGCUGCCGCCUGCUGCCUUCUCUUCCACCACAUCCAGCACUGCAGCUCCACGAGGGAGGUGGAGAAGCAGGUGUAUGACUGUCUGCCUUUCUUCAAGAUCCUGCAUCCCUGGGCAAAGAAGACGGCAGCCAUGUUGCUCGGUCACCUUCUCCACAACACUAGCAACAUUUCCACCAAGAGCGUCUGCACUUAUGAGGCCUAUAAGUGUGACCUGAGAGGGGCUGGGCCUUGGGAGGGAGGCUCCCUGGGAAGUAUGUGUGCCGUCCCUCACCUGCUGACCUGUCUUUCAUCCUUCUUCCCUCCCUUCCAGGGCCGAUCUUCCUCCUAGCCGACCAUGACCCUGAACUCAGGCGAGUUGGCUGGGAGACCAAGGUCAUCCUCACCAGGACCUCCACCCUCCACUACCAACACGGGUUGCAGGAUGAUGGAGAAAAAAUAAAUACAGAUCUGAAUUCAGCGCAAAAAGAAUGAUCUAAUAUUAUAUCUAAUGAAAAAUGCUUGUUGGCUUGUGUUACCUGACACAAUCCUCCUAGAUGUCACCUGUCAUAUCUUCACCAAAAACUUUAUAUCAGGCAUUGUAUAGCCAAAUCUUCAUUGAACUCUGCAAGGCCCAGUGCUUUCUUUUGGGCUUGUGGCUCUCCUCCAUGACCCAGAAACCUAUCUCUGACGUGGGAUGUUGUGUAUCUCCCAUCCUUUUAUUUGUCAGAUUUAAGGUGCUGCAGGUUUAAAUGAAUAUUUGAAUGAACAGUCCCUUAUAUAAAGACGACUGUGGAGAUAUGGCAGUAAACUGAGGCUGGAUCUAUAUUGCCAUACAGUGCAGUCUGUAUUGUGUUAUAUAGUUAGUGUAAACCAUAUAAUGCCCUUUGAACUGCACCCAACUACAUUAUAUGGGUCUACACUGAUAUCAGUUCCAACUGCAUUAUUUGGCAAUGUAGAUCCAGCCAAAGGUAAUAUUUGGGGCAACUGGGUCAGGUCUUCAGAGGAAGCCUUGGCUCCUCUCUUCCUCUCCUGAGCCCUGACUCAGGGUAUAAAUACCUGAGAACACAACUUGCAAACUGUUAUCCACUCAGAGCUGUGUUACCAUUUUGAACUAUAAGGAUAUUAUUUUGGACUACAGUUUACUUUCUCAAGGACUAUUCAAGUGUUUGAUUCAUCACUUCUAAAACUGUGUAAACAUUUUCUCGAUACUGAGUCUCCUUGUGGGGAGAAAGGUGGGAUAGAAAUAUGUGUAAUAAUAAAUAUUGGAUUCCUUUGGGGAAGGAGAGGGAGACUCAAACCACCCAGGACCUGCAACUCAGGCCCCGUCUACACUGCCCUGUAAUGCAGUUCAAACUGCAUUAUAUGGUGAGUGAAGGCUCAUAUAAUGCAUUUUAUUGCAUUUAAACUGUUUUAUAUGAAUCGACACUAAUCAUAUAAUACAGUUUGAACUGCAUUAAAUUGACAGUGUCGGUGAGGCCUAAGAGGAGAUGACAAUGCUGGUGUUUAGUUUAUGUAAAUAGUUGUGUAUUGCACUGUGUCAUGUUAAGAUCAUGUUGUGACCAUGAUGGCAUGGCUGUGUAAAUAAAAUCUGCAUAUAUUUAGAAGAA